rnacentral:rRNA from 1 species
UGGCGGACGGGUGAGUAAUGUCUGGGUAACUGCCUGAUGGAGGGGGAUAACUACUGGAAACGGUAGCUAAUACCGCAUAACGUCGCAAGACCAAANAGGGGGACCUUCGGGCCUCUUGCCAUCGGAUGUGCCCAGAUGGGAUUAGCUAGUAGGUGGGGUAAAGGCUCACCUAGGCGACGAUCCCUAGCUGGUCUGAGAGGAUGACCAGCCACACUGGAACUGAGACACGGUCCAGACUCCUACGGGAGGCAGCAUG